CGCAAAGCCAGUCGCGACGCGUCCAUCUCACGUUUCGUGUCGUGAACACGGCUUCUCUGGCAAUCACGCAUGCGAAAAUUACCAAGUCGUGUACGUGCAAAAUCGCUACGAGACAACUGCAGCAGACUUUGGAGUGUGUCAUCGUUCUUUGAUCGUUCAUCACAGCCCCACGGACACAGAAGGAGAAGGUGCCGGAUCAAUUCCUCUACGUUCUCAUUUCUGUCUACAGUUUGGUCUUAGGCUGUGACCAAAAAACAUCAGAAGGUCCAGAUGAGAAUAUGGCGUGCACCAUCUCUCCAUGAAGCGUGAAACUGGAAGUAUCUGUUUAUUAACUGAGAGGCGCAGACAGGCUGCUGUAAACCUCACCAACGACAUCAUGCAGUUGCAGUGGAUCCCAUGCACCGGUGUAUCCAUCUUCAGAAAAUAAGUUUCCUCGGAAAACAGCUGGCGGUGCAGACCUCCAGAUACCAUAGCUGCACAGAACAAGUGUGCUGCGUGCACUCGCACCGUCUCUCCCUUCAGCUGUUUGCCGUUUACCUGUCAGUACGGCCACACGGGCAACGCGCCGCUUGCUCUACCUUUCAUACACUAACGAAAGGCGUCAUUCUUCUGGAGGAGUGCAACCGUAAACCCAGCAAAGAACGAGAACGCACGUUUGAAACAAGGUUCGAUGUCCUCAAUACCAGGAACAUAUCGCCUACAACUGCUUUGACCAUCUUCAGGUUCUACCGGCAUGUUUUCGGAUCCACACCUGAGACUGCGAUCGCUCUUCGGAACUACGCAGUUUAUUUCCGCUGAAUCCAUACGGGACCUCAGAAGAACUUGGUUUUGUAGGCGACGCCGUUAUGUAGGAGAUCCUCAAACAAAAUGAAGAGGCUGCAUCACAUUGUCGUUUUCAUCAGGAAUAGGCAACCUGUAAGAAUGGACAGCAAUAAAUUUGACAUACCUGUAUGUUACCAUUUGGAGAAAAGUAGAGUGCACACACCAGCCUAUUAUCACCAGGAGGAAAAAUAUACCGUUAUUAAUUAUAAAAAAUUACCUUAAUUUUGAUUGUCUAGUUUAUGUAUUUGUAGUAUAGAAACUAUUGAUUGAAUUCAUUUGAUUGUAGUCUACUUUUUAGAUAAUAGUGUCAUAAAUGUGUGCACAAAGUUUUAAGCAACAAGUAGUUAAUAAGUCCAUAGACUUCAAACAUAGAGUGGCAGGAAAAAUUUUAA